rnacentral:ncRNA from 1 species
AAGAAUCCUGGUGAAAAGGGAAUCAGGUGUAAGUCCUGGACGAUCCGGUCACUGUGAACAGGGAGCGAAGCGCAAAGAUCCAUUGUAUAAGAGAUUAUAUGAGAAGGAGCGUUAAGUGCAGAUCUGUGAGUCAGGAAACCUGCUUGGAUAAGU